AGGAUAGUGUGUGACUCUUCCGCAGGGGGGAGGGGCUACCCAAGGUCUGACCACUGGGCAUCCCAGCCAGGCCUUGGCCUGUCAAGGGACAGGGCGAUUGUCAUCGUCAAGAUUCUCUCGGGUAACAUCUUUGAGGAGUGAUUAAGAGAGCCAUCCUCGUUGGGUGCCUAGGGCCUGGGUUUGAUGAGUAUUUGUACCCACAAGGUGGUUUGUAUCAAGUUUUUCACCAUGUGGCCAUACUGUCAGCUUUGGGGGUCUUUUGACUGGCACUCUUUGACAACCGAUUCUGUCUGCUCCCAAAGCACAAAAUCUGCUACGCAUAGUGAGUGGAGCCUUAGCACACAUUGUCCUUCCCAUCUGUGUCCAGCCCUGCCGAAAGCUUCUUUGAUGAGGUCCCCAGCCCUCUGUCCUCUUCUUCCCCAACCGACACCAGUAGACUAUAGGACCAUAGUUAACCAAGUCUCAGUCUCUCUCUCUCUCUCUCUCUCUCUCCCUCUCUCUCUCUCUCUCUCUCUCUCUCUUUACCUCCGACAUAUUUAAGUCUAUGAAACUUGAUGACGGUUUUCAACAUCUCUCAAUAGGUAACUCAGCUACAAAAAUAAUCAAAACCAGUGACCGUGAACCCGCGGCUCUAACGCAAAGCCAUGCAUGCCUCUCGUUCCUAUUGAAAUGUCCUCAUGAUAUGAAGCCAAAUAGUCCAUGUAGUAACAUGCUAUCCAAAGGUGGAAACAAAAGAAUGUAGCGACCCAGUGUUAAGAGUUCCAUUUGCUUCAGUUAAUUACUUACCUUCCUGUGGAAUAAUAUAUAUAUAUAUGAAUAUACGCUAUAUAUUUAAUAGGACCAUAGAUAGAUUAGUAUAACUUAGCUCACACAUGUGCACAUGUAGAGUGCUCUGCUGUUGCACAAGAAAGGGUGUGUGUGUGUGUGUGCGUGUGUUGGAGGUGGGUCUCAAUUCCAGCCAGCAUGAGACUGGCCAGGACGCAGUUUGAGAAAGUUACACUAGAUUGAAUAGCCACAGAAUCAGAAGAGGAGAAAAGGAACCGGGGAUUCUGUAGCAGACAAUGGGCUGGAUCCAUACAUGGUCCCUGUGAAUUCAUUUCUCAAAGAAAAAACGGCCAUGUCUGCCCCCACACAAAAAUACCCCACCACCACAAGCUCACCCAUUUGCAAGAUGGGGCAAUUGUUUUCCUCAGUGUGGUGAUUCAGUGUGGAGAUGUGUCCAUCGAGUAGGAAUUCGGUCACACCAUUUUCAAACAAUGUCAACAUAAUCCAGCUAUUGUUUUUCUCACUAUUUCUGUUGAAGGGAGCUGGGACACACACACACCCCCCCACCCGAAAAACAUCAGGACAGAUGCGAAGACCUGGGGGCGGGGGUUACUUUCCCAGUAGAAGUGGUGUGUUAUUUGUUUUAAAACUCCAAACGGAGAUCUUGGAAAUCUUUCAAAAAGACCAUUGAAUUUCUCAUUGCCUGAGAAGGACAUUUUUUAAAAGUCUUAAAUCUGGCUUUGUUUGCAUUGUUUGAGUUCAAGGGGCCUUAUUAUUGAAUGGCAUUGCACAAGCCUUUCUUUUUUGCAAGCAAACCAUUGUUAUUAGUUGUUCUCUAAAGGAAAUUGUGGAAACCAAUUGGCACCGGAGUCAUAAAUCCAUUUACCAAGUGUGGCUUCCGAGAAAUGUUGCAAUUCGGAAUGCACCAAGCCCGUGAAUUAUUGGGGAUUUGAAGAUUCCAAAUAAUAUUUAAAAAGAUGUCAUUUCCAGGCAACUUCAGGGGUCUUGCUUUUGGAAAUUCAACUCAAAAAUAAAACAGAAAGUAAAAAUAAAAUUACCGCAACAGCCCAAGCAAACUUUAGGCUUCAAAUAUUUGUCUGAACAUGUCUGAUUUAAACAUGUAGUAUUUGCCACAGGACAAACUGGUUUAUUUCCUAGCUAGAAGUUCCUACUUUUGCUUGUUCAUCAGGGCAUCUAUAGAAGGGUUUGUCUCAGUGUUGAAUUCACACAGCUUUGCGACCUGGUGCGUGCAUGACUCCUUAGGUACUGUAUUUCACUGUGUUGGUGUGUCUGAUGGACGUUUCAAGGUGGUCCCACAAAUAUAUUUUAUGUAGUGUGCCUUCAAAGAGAACCAUUUAUCUCUCUUCUCGUGUUGUCCCACUAAGUUACAUUUGGUGGUGGCCAGCCAAGUCCUGUGGGGUCUGAUCUGACUCAUUAUCCCGAGCUGAGAAAGUAACGGGAAUGGUUUUGCCCCAGUGAGACCCACACCGCUGGAGUAGGGACUUUGAGCACCUCCACUCUGGUGUUGACUGUCGAUGUAUUGAUAUUCUGCUCGUCUCCCCUUGGCGGAAAGGACUCUGAAAAAAAAAAUAGCAGCGUAAUCUCUUGGCUGUUUAUACUUUUUUAAACCUCCCCAUGCUGUAAAUAUUGUACACUCUGAGUAACCCCAGCUCUGUAACCUUGAUGCUCUGUAAGGUGAUAUUUGUAUAUAGCAACCUGGCCCAGUGAUGUUAUAUAAUUUCCCAAUGGAGAGGUUAUUGGGUAGCCUUGGCGUUUAGUUUUAAACACUACCAGAAGAAUGCUGAGCCAACAAUAAACACUCAACUUUGUAUGUUUUCCAAAUUGUACUUAUUACUGCUUUUGAUACUGUAUUCUGUGCCAAUAGUUUCCCAGUCACAUAGCAGGCAAGAGAUAUUUUGUACUUUUUGAUCCACUGUAAUAUUUAAUAAAAAAUGUUACUAUCUGUU
rnacentral:lncRNA from 1 species